rnacentral:rRNA from 1 species
GUUGUUGGGUAGGGGAGCGUUCUGUAAGCCGUUGAAGGUGUGCUGUGAGGCAUGCUGGAGGUAUCAGAAGUGCGAAUGCUGACAUAAGUAACGAUAAAGCGGGUGAAAAGCCCGCUCGCCGGAAGACCAAGGGUUCCUGUCCAACGUUAAUCGGGGCAGGGUGAGUCGACCCCUAAGGCGAGGCCGAAAGGCGUAGUCGAUGGGAAACAGGUUAAUAUUCCUGUACUUGGUGUUACUGCGAAGGGGGGACGGAGAAGGCUAUGUCAGCCGGGCGACGGUUGUCCCGGUUUAAGCAUGUAGGCGGAGGUUCCAGGUAAAUCCGGUACCUUGUUAACGCUGAGGUGUGAUGACGAGGCACUACGGUGCUGAAGUGAUAAAUGCCCUGCUUCCAGGAAAAGCCUCUAAGCAUCAGGUAACACGAAAUCGUACCCCAAACCGACACAGGUGGUCAGGUAGAGAAUACCAAGGCGCUUGAGAGAACUCGGGUGAAGGAACUAGGCAAAAUGGUGCCGUAACUUCGGGAGAAGGCACGCUGAUAUGUAGGUGAAGCCCCUGCGGGCGGAGCUGAAAUCAGUCGAAGAUACCAGCUGGCUGCAACUGUUUAUUAAAAACACAGCACUGUGCAAACACGAAAGUGGACGUAUACGGUGUGACGCCUGCCCGGUGCCGGAAGGUUAAUUGAUGGGGUUAGCGGCAACGCGAAGCUCUUGAUCGAAGCCCCGGUAAACGGCGGCCGUAACUAUAACGGUCCUAAGGUAGCGAAAUUCCUUGUCGGGUAAGUUCCGACCUGCACGAAUGGCGUAAUGAUGGCCAGGCUGUCUCCACCCGAGACUCAGUGAAAUUGAACUCGCUGUGAAGAUGCAGUGUACCCGCGGCAAGACGGAAAGACCCCGUGAACCUUUACUAUAGCUUGACACUGAACACUGGUCCUUGAUGUGUAGGAUAGGUGGGAGGCUUUGAAGCGUGGACGCCAGUCUGCGUGGAGCCGCCCUUGAAAUACCACCCUUUAAUGGCUGGUGUUCUAACGUAGACCCGUAAUCCGGGUUGCGGACAGUGUCUGGUGGGUAGUUUGACUGGGGCGGUCUCCUCCCAAAGAGUAACGGAGGAGCACGAAGGUUGGCUAAUCCUGGUCGGACAUCAGGAGGUUAGUGCAAUGGCAUAAGCCAGCUUGACUGCGAGCGUGACGGCGCGAGCAGGUGCGAAAGCAGGUCAUAGUGAUCCGGUGGUUCUGAAUGGAAGGGCCAUCGCUCAACGGAUAAAAGGUACUCCGGGGAUAACAGGCUGAUACCGCCCAAGAGUUCAUAUCGACGGCGGUGUUUGGCACCUCGAUGUCGGCUCAUCACAUCCUGGGGCUGAAGUAGGUCCCAAGGGUAUGGCUGUUCGCCAUUUAAAGUGGUACGCGAGCUGGGUUUAGAACGUCGUGAGACAGUUCGGUCCCUAUCUGCCGUGGGCGCUGGAGAAUUGAGGGGGGCUGCUCCUAGUACGAGAGGACCGGAGUGGACGCAUCACUGGUGUUCGGGUUGUCAUGCCAAUGGCACUGCCCGGUAGCUAAAUGCGGAAGAGAUAAGUGCUGAAAGCAUCUAAGCACGAAACUUGCCCCGAGAUGAGUUCUCCCUGAGACUUUAAGUCUCCUGAAGGAACGUUAAAGACGAUGACGUUGAUAGGUCGGGUGUGUAAGCGCAGCGAUGCGUUGAGCUAACCGAUACUAAUGAACCGUGAGGCUUAACCUUACAACGCCGAAG